AAAAAGAAUAGAGCACAAAAAAAUGGGGAUCAAUUCGAAUUAUGUGAGACUUUUGAUGAACUGAGAUGACGAUGUAAGCAGUUCAAGUUCAGUUCAGGGGUUCAAAAGUUGGUCACGGCGCGCGUGUGUGUGUGCGUGCGUGGGUCUUUGUGCGUGAAGGCAAAAACGACUAUUGAUUUUGAAGUAAUGAAUACACACUCAGACAGCCACGCGACAACAGAUGUAAGAGAUUGCGUUUGGAGCAACUAGACAGAGUGACCCCUGGAACCUCAGAAGACUGGUGAGAAAGACCUGAGGACGGGCCGGAGAAGACGCCGGGUCUGUUGCAUGUCAAGUUUAAUCCAGAGAGGCUCAAAGGUCACAGUGCUGAGGAGGCCUCACAAGGAAUCUCAACACAUCUAUGCCACAGUCUACUACCACAGGGAGUAACAGGAAACAUGAAGCUGGGUGUGUGACCUUCAACCCCUCGCCUCUGCGAGUGUAUGUGUGUGUAUUCAUGGCUGGAUGUGUUGAAGAAGAAGCAGGAGGUGGGCAGAUGCAAAGGUCUGUGAAAGGAAAGGUAGAACGGGACCCUUACCUGCAGCUACUCUGUCUGAAUGAGUGUCCUGGUCUCCAUGGUGAGAGCUUCAGGGGUCAUGAUGAGGUCAUGGAGAGGGCAGAGUGUUGCAUAUCCGCUGAAAACGCACAUUUCCUUUCUCUUCACUCAUUGUUUUCUGGAGCUUCUGAAGCAUGUGCUGCAGCUUGAAGUGUGUGUGUGUUUAAGUGUGUUUAUCUAUCCUAGUGAGGACCAAUUUUGGUGUUUGUACGGCCAUUUUGCUGGACCUCCCCAAGGUUAAGCCUCAAUUUUAGGAUGAGGGCUUCAAAAUAAUGUCAUUAUAACUGGGUUUAAAUUUGGUUCAGAGUCCCGGUUAAGUUUCGCCAUUUGUUUUGGAUGGUUAGGUUUAGGGCGAGAGGCUGGGGAAAGCAUUAUGUAAAUGACAAACCUCACAAUGUCACCACAAGGAUAGCAAGGCAAGCGUGUGUGGGCAUGUUUUGCCAGACUUGUGAGUACCAAAUUCUGGCAAGUCUCCUUCUUGUGAGGGCAUUUGCUUUGUGAGGACAUUUUGGCAUUAUGUCAGUGAGAGGUCCUCACAAAAGAAAAACAAGCCUGUGAGUGUGUGGCGGUAUGUAUGUGUGUGUCGUCCAUUCAAACAGAGGUAUUGGUAUAUAAAAAGCACAUUAAAAAAAAAAAAGAGUCAGAGAAAAGACCACACAUUUCUGCAUCUCUGCAUAAAGUGCUGAACACCAUGUUUGUUGCUUCUCUUCUGAAGUUUUAGAAUUUCCAUCCAUCAGUGCAAUUUCAUUUACUCUCCUUCUUCAACAAUGUUUAGAAAACCAUAUGUACCUUGUGCUUGAUCACUGAAGCUGUUAUUAAUUAUUAAUUAUUAUUCAUUAACAUAGUAAGGAGACAUGGCAGGUUCGGCUUGUCUAUCAGCGAGACUGAACUCUGAGCGCCCCCCACGGCCCAAACAUAGCAUGGACAAUCUUCUUCCCUGAGCUGAUAUAAACACUGUCAUAGCCAGGCCCUUGGUGGUGGAAGCACUUGCUCCUUGAACACAGUGAAAGUUGCCUCUGUUGAGCUGCUCAACAGAGGCAACUUACCUUGAACUUACCUUGAACCAUCCAGCCGGCCAGCUGUGCCAUUUUUCAGUCCCUUGAACUGUUGUUAGUCACCUCUUUCUACAUGUUAAAUUGUCGUAGCUCCUCGAAGGAUUGUGUUCCCGCCUGAAUGCCCAAACACAGAGCACAUCUACAGGUGAUGCCCAUCAUGGAUCCCAUCAGAGACCCUGUGAAGUUUUGGAUUUUGUAUUUUUGCCUUGGUGACUGUGCUCUUCAGUUGUGUUUGUUUUUUUUUUGAGAGAAAUUUGGACUCCUGAUAUUUUGUGAUUGUGUUUGUGGACUAUUAUUGGACUAUUGUAAAUGUUUGUCUUAAAUUACUGAACUGUUCCUGCCUUGUUGUUUUUCCCUCAACAUUUUGCUCUUGGGUUCCACUCAGCUCAGCAAACCUUCACAGUCAGUGUGAUAAAAAAAAAUGCAGAGGCAGUGUUGCAAUUUAUUUAAUGUGUAUUACAUUAGAAAAUGUGUUACAUUAGAACAUUUUUUCAUUCUUGGCUGUUUUUUUUUAGUAUUGUUUCACGUUUAAAGUUACACUUAAAGCCAAGUCCAAGCCGGACAAGCUAAAAUGCCUGGACAUUGCUCUGAUCAAUUGGUAGAAAAACAGAAUCAUAAAAGUCUGUAAAAUACAGAAUAAAGUUUGUUUGCCUAUUCAUGGAAUUUGAUAGUUCUUAUGUUAUAAUGUUAAAAUUCUAUGAGUGUCUUCUGUCUUAUUGUUAUUUAAACUGCUAUUAAACGGUCAAAAACUCAUAGUGAU